UUUAGGUGUUUGAGACUAUGCAACAAGCUCAUGAUGUUCCAUUCGGGUCCCAUUUUGAGGUUCACUGCAAGUGGAGAUUGGAGACCAAUUCUGAAUCCUCGUGUACAAUGGAAAUAAAAGCUGGUGCACAUUUUAAGAAAUGGUGUGUGAUGCAAUCCAAAAUCAGAUCGGGUGCAAUCAAUGAGUACAAGAAAGAGGUGGAGACAAUGCUCGAG